CUACAUCCUAUUGUCACCACCAUUGAAAUACAUUUGGCUUCUUUUAAUGGGAUAGUUCUUGUAUCUGUAAAGAUUUAAAUAGCUCAUAAAGAAAUAAGCAAUAAUUUAAGGAAUCUUAAGAUCAAGGAGGAGAUUGUGGUUAUAAAUGUCUGAUGGCAUCUCUACAUCUCAGGUGAAGCAUGGAGGAUUUCACAGAUGAAGUGAGUGAUACCUGAAUAGCUAUUGGAGAAUAUGUAAAAGGUUAUCAGUACCCAUGUUCUAUCCUAGUUUGUUUUGUGCUUCCUUGACAGAACAAGUGAAACUAGGUAGCUUAUAAUGAACAGAAAUUUAUUUAGCAAGAGCGUGGCACCUGCAUCUGAUGAGAGUCAUCCCAUGGCAGAAGAGUAGAAGGCAGAAGGAGAAACAGAGCAUGAAUCUGAAGAAGUCAUACAAACGUGAGAAAGAAGUUGAGAAAGAGAUUUUCCUGCGUAAGAAAAUGCUGUGUUUGAAAAGUCUGUUGAAAGGUUUUUUAGAUCUUUCCUGAUUACGAAUCCAGUCUGCUAAUGUGAAGAAGCCUGGACAAAUUUAGAGAACUGCCCCACUGAAACUAACUGUGGUGAUCAUCAAGAAAUGAAGAUUGAACCU
rnacentral:lncRNA from 1 species